rnacentral:rRNA from 1 species
GACGAACGCUGGCGGCGUGCCUAACACAUGCAAGUCGAACGGAGUAAAGACUUUCGGUUUUUACUUAGUGGCGAACGGGUGAGUAGCGCGUGAGAAACCUGCCUUUCAGGUGGGGACAACAGUUGGAAACGACUGCUAAUACCGCAUAAUGUUAGUUUGGGGGCAUCCCCGAAUAACCAAAGAUUUAUUGCUGAAAGAUGGUCUCGCGUCUGAUUAGCUAGUUGGUGAGGUAACGGCUCACCAAGGCGACGAUCAGUAGCCGGUCUGAGAGGAUGGACGGCCACAUUGGGACUGAGAUACGGCCCAG